GUCCGCUCUGUAAUCGCACGCUCACAACCGGCGCCAUGAGGACACGCACGCUGCUGCUACUGCUUCUCGUGUUGGUGGCUACGGCCACACUCGUCGCCCCCGCGGCAGCCAGGAGGUGGCCCUGGGAGAAACCGAAAAUCAUUGCAGAGAUGAUCAAGAUGCGGCAGAGGUGUGGGUCCGGAACGGUGCGAGUCGGCAACAUAUGUAGGAGGGUUUACAUGGCAUGAGGUGGCUUGGGACAUUCAUAAUGUGGAAGACAUCGCAACAGAAAAGAAAAAUGGAAGCUUUUAUAUGUACAUAAAUUUUGUACAGUUAUUUAUAAUGUAAAUAAUAAAUGUGAUACUGAUGCAAA